rnacentral:rRNA from 1 species
CCCUGGUAGUCCACCCCGUAAACGUUGGGAACUAGUUGUGGGGUCCAUUCCACGGAUUCCGUGACGCAGCUAACGCAUUAAGUUCCCCGCCUGGGGAGUACGGCCGCAAGGCUAAAACUCAAAGGAAUUGACGGGGACCCGCACAAGCGGCGGAGCAUGCGGAUUAAUUCGAUGCAACGCGAAGAACCUUACCAAGGCUUGACAUAUACGAGAACGGGCCAGAAAUGGUCAACUCUUUGGACACUCGUAAACAGGUGGUGCAUGGUUGUCGUCAGCUCGUGUCGUGAGAUGUUGGGUUAAGUCCCGCAACGAGCGCAACCCUCGUUCUAUGUUGCCAGCACGUAAUGGUGGGAACUCAUGGGAUACUGCCGGGGUCAACUCGGAGGAAGGUGGGGAUGACGUCAAAUCAUCAUGCCCCUUAUGUCUUGGGCUUCACGCAUGCUACAAUGGCCGGUACAAAGGGCUGCAAUACCGCGAGGUGGAGCGAAUCCCAAAAAGCCGGUCCCAGUUCGGAUUGAGGUCUGCAACUCGACCUCAUGAAGUCGGAGUCGCUAGUAAUCGCAGAUCAGCAACGCUGCGGUGAAUACGUUCCCGGGUCUUGUACACACCGCCCGUCAAGUCAUGAAAGUCGGUAACACCUGAAGCCGGUGGCCUAACCCUUGUGGAGGGAGCCGUCGAAGGUGGGAUCGGUAAUUAGGACUAAG